rnacentral:tRNA from 2 species
GGCCAGGUAGCUCAGUUGGUACGAGCGUCCGCCUGAAAAGCGGAAGGUCGGCGGUUCGAUCCCGCCCCUGGCCA